UGAGGAAUAUUGGUCAAUGGGCGCGAGCCUGAACCAGCCAAGUCGCGUGAGGGAGGAAGGCCCUACGGGUUGUAAACCUCUUUUGCCGGGGAGCAACGGGCGCCACGUGUGGCGCCACUGAGAGUACCCGGAGAAAAAGCAUCGGCUAACUCCGUGCC
rnacentral:rRNA from 1 species